rnacentral:rRNA from 1 species
ACGGGAGGCAGCAGUGAGGAAUAUUGGUCAAUGGGCGAGAGCCUGAACCAGCCAAGUAGCGUGCAGGAAGAAUUACCCUUCGGGUAUGUAAACUGCUUUUAUCUGGGAAUAAAGUGCGAGACGCGUUCUUGUUUUGUAUGUACCAGAGGAAUAAGGAUCGGCUAACUCCGUGCCAGCAGCCGCGGUAAUACGGAGGAUUCGAGCGUUAUCCGGAUUUAUUGGGUUUAAAGGGUGCGUAGGCGGGAGAUUAAGUCUGUGGUGAAAGUUUGCAGCUCAACUGUAAAAUUGCCGUGGAAACUGGUUUUCUAGAGUGCGAAUGAGGCUGGCGGAAUGUGAUGUGUAGCGGUGAAAUGCUUAGAUAUGUCACAGAACACCGAUUGCGAAGGCAGCUGGCUGGGACGCUACUGACGCUGAGGCACGAAAGCGUGGGGAUCAAACAGGAUUAGAUACCCUGGUA